rnacentral:rRNA from 1 species
GACGAACGCUGGCGGCGUGCCUAACACAUGCAAGUCGAACGGAAAGCCCCUGCUUUUGCUUGGUGCUCGAGUGGCGAACGAGUGAGUAACACGUGAGUAACCCCCCCUUGACUUUCGGAUAACCUCAGGAAACCGGGGCUAACACCUGAUAGAAGCUCCUGCUCCAUGGUGGGGGUUGGAAAUGUUCCGUGGUUGUGGAUAUGCUCGCGGGUUAUCAGUUUGUUGGUGGAGUAGUGGCUAACCCGGGCCGUGACGUGUAGCCGGCAUGAGAGAGUGACCGGAGUCAGUGGUACUGAGAUAAGGACCAGACUCCUACGGGAGGCAGUAGGAGGGAAUAUUGUACAAUGGGCGGAAGUCUGAUACAGCAAAGCCGCGUGCGGGAUGACGGGCUUCUGGUUGUAAACCGCUGUCGCCUGUGACGGAGCGUGAGUGACGGUAAUGGCUAAAGAAGCACCGGCUAACUCCGUG